rnacentral:misc_RNA from 1 species
UACGAAGGUGGCGAGCGUUACUCGGAAUGACUAGGCGUAAAGGGCAGGUAGGCGGCUUGGUAAGUCUGCUGUGAAAGCUCCCGGCUUAACUGGGAGAGGCCAACAGAUACUGCUAGGCUUGAGUGUGGGAGAGGUCACUGGAAUUCCUGGUGUAGCGGUGAAAUGCGCAGAGAUCAGGAGGAACACCAAUGGCGAAAGCAAGUGACUGGACCACUACUGACGCUCAGCUGCGAAAGCUAGGGGAGCAAACAGG